UGGAAACUNUCAGACUUGAGCGCAGAAGGGGAGAGUGGAAUUCCAUGUGUAGCGGUGAAAUGCGUAGAUAUAUGGAGGAACACCAGUGGCGAAAGCGGCUCUCUGGUUUGUCACUGACGCUGAGGCUCGAAAGCGUGGGUAGCGAACAGGAUUAGAUACCCUGGUAGUNCACGCCGUAAACGAUGAGUGCUAGGUGUUAGGCCCUUUCCGGGGCUUAGUGCCGGAGCUAACGCAAUAAGCACUCCGCCUGGGGAGUAUGACCGCAAGGUUGAAACUCAAAGGAAUUGACGGGGGCCCGCACAAGCGGUGGAGCAUGUGGUUUAAUUCGAAGCAACGCGAAGAACCUUACCAGGUCUUGACAUCCCGAUGCUAUUCUUAGAGAUAGGAAGUUACUUCGGUACACCGGAGACUGGUGGUGCAUGGUUGUCGUCAGCUCGUGUCGUGAGAUGUUGGGUUAAGUCCCGCAACGAGCGCAACCCUUAUUGUUAGUUGCCAUCAUUAAGUUGGGCACUCUAGCGAGACUGCCGGUAAUAAACCGGAGGAAGGUGGGGAUGACGUCAAAUCAUCAUGCCCCUUAUGACCUGGGCUACACACGUGCUACAAUGGUCGGUACAACGAGUUGCGAGCCGGUGACGGCAAGCUAAUCUCUGAAAGCCGAUCUCAGUUCGGAUUGGAGGCUGCAACUCGCCUCCAUGAAGUCGGAAUCGCUAGUAAUCGCGGAUCAGCACGCCGCGGUGAAUACGUUCCCGGGCCUUGUACACACCGCCCGUCACACCACGAGAGUUUGUAACACCCGAAGUCGGUGAGGUAACCUUUUA
rnacentral:rRNA from 1 species